GACGAGGGGUCCAAGCGUUGUUCGGAAUCAUUGGGCGUAAAGCGGGUGUAGGCGGCUCUAUAAGUCAGGAGUGAAAGCCCCGAGCUUAACUUGGGAAGUGCUUUUGAUACUGCAGAGCUUGAAUGUGGGAGAGGUUAAUGGAAUUCCAGGUGUAGUGGUGAAAUACGUAGAUAUCUGGAGGAACACCGGUGGCGAAGGCGGUUAACUGGCCCAACAUUGACGCUGAGACC
rnacentral:rRNA from 1 species